rnacentral:rRNA from 1 species
UACGUAGGGUGCGAGCGUUGUCCGGAAUUAUUGGGCGUAAAGAGCUCGUAGGCGGCUUGUCGCGUCGGAUGUGAAAGCCCCGAGGCUUAACCUCGGGUCUGCAUUCGAUACGGGCUAGCUAGAGUGUGGUAGGGGGAGAUCGGAAUUCCUGGUGUAGCGGUGAAAUGCGCAGAUAUCAGGAGGAACACCGGUGGCGAAGGCGGAUCUCUGGGCCAUUACUGACGCUGAGGAGUGAAAGCGUGGGGAGCGAACAGGAUAGAAAC